rnacentral:rRNA from 1 species
GAGUUUGAUCCUGGCUCAGAACGAACGCUGGCGGCGUGCUUAACACAUGCAAGUCGAACGCGAAAGUUCCUUCGGGAGCGAGUAGAGUGGCGCACGGGUGAGUAAUGCAUAGGAACAUACCUAUUGGUGGGGAAUAACCAAGGGAAACCUUGGCUAAUACCGCAUAAAGUCGCGAGACUAAAGAAGGCCUCUUCUUGAAAGCUUUCGCCAUUAGAUUGGCCUAUGUCCCAUUAGCUUGUUGGUAGGGUAACGGCCUACCAAGGCGACGAUGGGUAGCUGGUCUGAGAGGAUGAUCAGCCACACUGGAACUGAGACACGGUCCAGACUCCUACGGGAGGCAGCAGUGGGGAAUCUUGCACAAUGGGCGAAAGCCUGAUGCAGCAACGCCGCGUGAGUGAAGAAGGUUUUUGGAUUGUAAAGCUCUUUCGGCUAGGAAGAAGGGCGAUAUGGUUAAUACCCGUAUUGUUUGACGGUACUAGAAGAAGAAGCACCGGCUAAUUCCGUGCCAGCAGCCGCGGUAAUACGGAAGGUGCAAGCGUUGUUCGGAAUGACUGGGCGUAAAGCGCACGUAGGCG